GUGAAUCAUCGAAUUUUUGAACGCAAAUUGCACUCUCUUCGGAGAGUAUGCCUGUUUGAGGGUCGUUAGAAUAAAAAAUCGAGGCGUUGCUCUUUUUUUUAAGGGUGAUCGCGUCGGAAUUGAGCCGUCUUUCAAAUGUUAAUUAAUGUCAAAGUGGUUUGAAAUUCAUCCAUCUGGUACGAUUAAAGCGUAUUUAAGAUUAAUUUUGAUUAAGAACGAGCGAUGACGUACCAU
rnacentral:misc_RNA from 1 species